ACGGUGCCACCCAGUUAGUCUGUUUUCUUUGCUUUUUUAUAGACUGGAUUUAUAUAUUUAUAACUAAAAUUAGGUUAAAUUUUUUUUUUACAGAGUUAAAUAUUUAGAUUGAUGAAAGAUGUAUAAUAGUGACAGGGAUUAGAUACCCCAUUAAUGUACAUUGUAGCUUUGUCUUAGUUAAUAUAACUAAAAUAAUUUGGCAGUGAGCGACUCUUUUUAGGGGAAGGUGUGGUGUAAAGGAUGUUCCGCCUAAUAAUUUACUUUCGUUAUGUUGGUGUAUAUCUGGUUUAAUAUUAUCGUUGAGUAAGUGAGUUUGUGUAGUUUUAUUUAAGCCAACAAUAUGUGCUGCUUAUGAAAGUAUUCAUGCGUUACAUUUAUAAGGUUUUGGUUGUAAUACUAAAAUAUUUAGGACUUAAAAGUAAUGUACCUAAGUUUGCAAGAGUGUGAAGUAAGUA
rnacentral:rRNA from 1 species